rnacentral:rRNA from 1 species
UGGGGAAUCUUGGACAAUGGGCGCAAGCCUGAUCCAGCAAUGCCGCGUGGGUGAAGAAGGCCUUCGGGUUGUAAAGCCCUUUUGUUUGGGAGCAAAUCCUAACGGUUAAUACCUGUUGGGGAUGAGAGUACCAAAAGAAUCAGCACCGGCUAACUACGUGCCAGCAGCCGCGGUAAUACGUAGGGUGCAAGCGUUAAUCGGAAUUACUGGGCGUAAAGCGUGCGCAGGUGGUUUUACAAGACCGACGUGAAAGCCCCGGGCUCAACCUGGGAACUGCGUUGGUGACUGUAAGACUAGAGUGUGGCAGAGGGGGGUGGAAUUCCACGUGUAGCAGUGAAAUGCGUAGAGAUGUGGAGGAACACCGAUGGCGAAGGCAGCCCCCUGGGCUAACACUGACACUCAUGCACGAAAGCGUGGGGAGCAAACA